rnacentral:ncRNA from 1 species
CGGCUGGGCUCGCGGCGUUGCGGGCCCUGGCCCCGGGACAUAUUUUGUAGCCGACCUUCCCGCCGCUGUGCAGUGACGGAUUCCCUGCCCGGCCCUCUUUGCCGAAGUCCCCGCAGCCCGGCUGGGCCCCAGGUAAUGCCCAU